rnacentral:rRNA from 1 species
GGCAACCCUGAUCCAGCAAUGCCGCGUGGGUGAAGAAGGCCUUCGGGUUGUAAAGCCCUUUCGGCAGGGAAGAAAUCGGCGGGGCGAAUAACCCUGCUGGAUGACGGUACCUGCAGAAGAAGCACCGGCUAACUACGUGCCAGCAGCCGCGGUAAUACGUAGGGUGCGAGCGUUAAUCGGAUUUACUGGGCGUAAAGCGUGCGCAGGCGGCCCGUUAAGACAGGUGUGAAAUCCCUGGGCUCAACCUAGGAAUUGCGCUUGUGACUGGCGGGCUCGAGUACGGUAGAGGGGGGUGGAAUUCCUGGUGUAGCAGUGAAAUGCGUAGAGAUCAGGAGGAACACCGAUGGCGAAGGCAGCCCCCUGGGCCUGUACUGACGCUCAUGCACGAAAGCGUGGGGAGCAAACAGGAUUAGAUACCCUGGUAGUCCACGCCCUAAACGAUGGGUACUAGCCGUUUGGUGCGCGAUAGCGCUGAGUGGCGAAGCUAACGCGUGAAGUACCCCGCCUGGGGAGUACGGCCGCAAGGUUGAAACUCAAGGAA